rnacentral:rRNA from 1 species
UACGGAGGGUGCGAGCGUUGUCCGGAAUCACUGGGCGUAAAGGGCGCGUAGGCGGCCUGAUAAGUAGGGGGUGAAAUCCUGCGGCUUAACCGCAGGGCUGCCUUCUAAACUGUCAGGCUCGAGCACAGUAGAGGCAGGUGGAAUUCCCGGUGUAGCGGUGGAAUGCGUAGAGAUCCGGAAGAACACCAGUGGCGAAGGCGGUCUGCUGGGCAGUUGCUGACACUGAGGCGCGACAGCGUGGGGAGCGAUCCGG